GGUCAUAGCUCAGUUGGUAGAGCCCCGGAUUGUGAUUCCGGUUGUCGUGGGUUCGAGCCCCAUUGA
rnacentral:tRNA from 1 species